rnacentral:rRNA from 1 species
CGUAAAGACGCAUGCAGGUGGUUUGGUUUAAGUUACAGAUGUGAAAGACCCGGGGCCGUCAACCUCCGGAAUAGCAUUUGUAAACUAGGCAGACUAGAGUACUGUAGAGGGGGGUAGGAAGUUUCUAGGUGUAGCGGUGAAAUAGCGUAGAGAUCUGAAGGAAUACCGGUGGCGAAGGCGGCCCCCUCGGACAGAUACUGACACUCAGAUGCGAAAGCGUGGGGAGCAAACAGGAUUAGAUACCCUGGUAG